UGGCACGAGAAAGCUGUAAAAUCAGUCAUGCAAGUUAGCUCUGGGAAGGAGGUGGGACCAGGAAAAGGAGUGUAAAAUUUCACAAUGUUCACUUUUCCUUGUGUCUUCACUGGGUUGAAAUGGAUGGAAAAAAGCCAAUAGCCAGCAGAAAGUGGAGGCUGGGGGAAUACAGUACUGAACUGAUAUCCUGGAGAUUUAUGACCUUCCUGGGACACUGUGAAGAAUAAGAGAGAUUGACAGGAAAAUGUCUUCAGAGCAAACGCACGCCAGAUGGAAUGAAAACGGUUUAUUGGAGUAUGGAGGUGCUGCUGAACUGAAUAGAGGGCGGGUUUAAGGAGUGUGUGCAUGAGUUUGUUCAUUUCUAAAGAAGAUAAACUGUCUGGAGCUCCACUAUUGUCCCAAAUACAAAUUUGAAUACUGGAGGUUCAUAAUGGGAUUGAUUCUGCUCUGUGAAAAGUAAUUAUUUGUCCAUAAAACCAGGAAGCUACAGAAAUGAACUCGGAUGGCAACAGCCUUUUGUUCAGCUCCUUUGCAGUGAAGAGGGAAAAUGCCUGACUGCAUUGCACUUUUACAAGGCCCAAAACUCUUGAGCCAACUACAGUGAAAUGGUGAACAAAAAGCCAGUCUAAUACAGCAGGAUGUUCCUUCACAGUAUUUUAGAAAAAUAAAAAAAAAACCAAAUUAAGAAAAAGAAAAAAACUUUGUGCCUGUGAAUGUGUAUGUUUUUGCUUUGCCCUUUAUAGCUACAGCAGAUCUUCCAGUGCUUUUACAAAGCAGUGAGUUAAAUACUGGUGGCGUGGUGCCUGUGUAGGCAAACGGCACAGCCAUUAGUGCUCAGCAUACGUUUUUAUUGUUUCUUUAUAUAGAACCCAAUAUCACUUACACAGAGGGGGAUA